CCCUCACGUAUGUGCGUUCAAAAUCUUGAUGGGCGUUCAAGACCUUUGCAUCUUUCCCUCACGUAUAUGUGCGU
rnacentral:misc_RNA from 1 species